UUCCUCCCAAAAAUUCCAUUCCAUUCUAUUGAAUAUCUUUCAAUCUCUCUCUAAAAAACUCUCAUUUUCUCUCUCUCUAAUUUCCCAUAUCUCUCUUUUUUCCAUCACAAUAAAAAGUCUCUCUGUCAAGAAUUCAUGUCGAAUUGAUAGCACCCUUCUCCUUUGGUGAUAACUCCUGCUCUUUAUACAGUUAGAAAUAUUGUUGUUACCGGAGAUAAUGUGCAAACUCAGGUAUUGUUUGGAUUUAGUUGUUAAAGAUGAUCUUUUUUUCUCAUUAACGGGCAAACCUUGUUGCUACAAAGUGUGCUAUAAGUCAUCGGGCAUUGCCAUGCCUUUUAAAACUUUUGACAAAUAAUUAUGGAAAGAGCAUCGAGGUGGUUACUUGUUCGACAAUCUCAAAUAUCACAGCAAGAAAUGAAGAGCAGAUACAAGUAUCAAUUUCGAACCUAAGGUUUUAUUUACGUUGAUUUGUAUAAUGAAAUGAUGGGUAAUGGUAUGAAUUUUACAGGCUAUAAUUGAAGCUAAUAUUAUUGCUCCUCUAGUUGAUUUGCUUCAAAAUGCUGAAUUUGAUAUUAAGGAACAAGCUGCAAAAGCCAUCUCAAAUGCUACAUCUGGUGGGACUCAUGAUCAGAUCAGAUUCCUUGUAAGUCAAGGUUGCAUCAAGCAAUUGUGUGAUCUUCUCUUCUACUUCGAUCCAGAGGUUUUUACAGUUUGCUUACAAGGGCUUGAAAAUAUUCUGAAGAAGGUCGAGAGAAUAUCAAGCAUUGUUGCAGAAGGUCGAGGGAAUAUCAAGCAUUGCCAGUAUUAUAAUGGCACCGAGAAUUAUGAAAAGGCUAUGGAAGUUCUCAAGACAUAUUGGUAUUAUAAUUAAUUGUGUGGUAACCAAUCACAGCUUUAAUUAUUGAAAUCACAAAGUUAAAAUUAAAAAUACAUUUAUGCCUCAAGCCUUCUUUACACUUUGCUGAUGUUAGUAUACAUCCAACCAUGUUUCCGAAGAAGUAAAUUUGUAGUAAAAGGAUUUUUUUAAUAAAAGGAAUUAAAAAAUUAUGGGUAAAUUAUUAAAA